UUUAUUUGUAUAAUUAUUGUUAGGAUUCACAGUUAUCGGUAACUAUUUUGAAAUUUAAAAAUAUUUAUUAGGCAUUAAAUAAGCGUAUUCAUCUGUAACCAAGCAAUACUAUAUUUUGAACGGCUCAUUCAAGCCGUCACUGGAGAUAGUCAAUAUCUGAGCGCGAUACGAUGGCAUAUAAAUUGUACGUUAUAUUUUUCUUUUCGGGUCUCGUCGUUAUCUUUGUUGUUAAACUUUUAUCUUAUAUGAAAACCGAAAGGCAAAAUACCGCCACUAUUUGGCAGGCCGAAAAAAAAAAAAAAAACGGAUAGACGGACAGACCAUUCAGAUUGGUCUUAAUGUAGCUGGAGGUUUAAACACUGUCUUUUUCUAACAACGUUGAUUAAAAUAAACAAAUACUAUGGCGAUUUACUUCGUAAAGAAUAUUGCACGAAUACAACAUCACAUUCAAUUUUAUUCUAUACGAUGGUUUUAGCUACAACUACAUUAUAUUUUGACCGCAGCCCUACUAUUUCGGGUCGUCGUGGUAGGGAACGGGCGUUGACUAUAAAAUAUAUUACGUAAAACGUGUGAACAGAGCGAAACAAAAUAAAAAAAACCCAACGGAGGAAAUGACGGCCGGGGCCGAUGCGAUAUUCGGUGGAUCGCGGCGCGCGAAACGUGAUCCGAUCGGUCGGAGGA